rnacentral:misc_RNA from 1 species
AAGUCGUAACAAGGUUUCCGUAGGUGAACCUGCGGAAGGAUCAUUAACGAAUAACUAUGGUGUCUUGGUUGUAGCUGGCUCCUCGGAGCAAUGUGCACGCCCGCCAUUUUUAUCUUUCCACCUGUGCACCAACUGUAGGUCUGGAUGACUCUCGCACUCCGGUGCGGAUGCGAGGAUUGCUCUCGGGCUCUCCUCGAAUUUCCAGGCUCUACGUCUUUUUACACACCCCAAAUGUAUGAUACAGAAUGUAGUCAAUGGGCUUGAUCGCCUAUAAAACACUAUACAACUUUCAGCAACGGAUCUCUUGGCUCUC